AACGAACGCUGGCGGCAGGCUUAACACAUGCAAGUCGAGCGAGACCUUCGGGUCUAGCGGCGGACGGGUGAGUAACGCGUGGGAACGUGCCCUUCUCUACGGAAUAGCCCCGGGAAACUGGGAGUAAUACCGUAUACGCCCUUUGGGGGAAAGAUUUAUCGGAGAAGGAUCGGCCCGCGUUGGAUUAGGUAGUUGGUGGGGUAAUGGCCCACCAAGCCGACGAUCCAUAGCUGGUUUGAGAGGAUGAUCAGCCACACUGGGACUGAGACACGGCCCAGACUCCUACGGGAGGCAGCAGUGGGGGAUCUUAGACAAUGGGGGCAACCCUGAUCUAGCCAUGCCGCGGGAGUGAUGAAGGCCUUAGGGUUGUAAAGCUCUUUCAGCUGGGAAGAUAAUGACGGUACCAGCAGAAGAAGCCCCGGCUAACUCCGUG
rnacentral:rRNA from 1 species